GACUCCAUGGCCCAAUGGAUAAUAAGGUGCUGGUCUACGAAACCAAAGAUUUUGGGUUCGAUCCCUAGUAGAGUCG
rnacentral:tRNA from 1 species